GCUCUCUUGAGCCUCAUUGAAAUUAGACUUGAGUAGCAGAUUUAGUAAAUCAUUUUGGUAUUCAUUUCCUGACAGUAUGGCCUUCUCUCUAGUCUCUAUUAAGCCUUGCAGUAAGGCUCGAACUUCUUGGUGGUUUUGCAUCAUUUUUUCUUUUAAUUCUUUUAAUUUUGAAGGCAAUAACCUUGACCAUAGAGAAUUGAAAUUGAAAAUCGAUUGCUCAAGGAGUUUCCCUUGUUCCCUUUGGAGAGAGAAAAUCAACCUUCCUUCUUCAAGAUUGCUACCAAAAGCUGCUCUUGAUAUAAUAUCUCCAGUUAAGUUUUGAAACUCAGGCAAAACAUCUAAUUCACAUGAGUUUGCUGAGCUUAGCAACUUG
rnacentral:misc_RNA from 1 species